rnacentral:rRNA from 1 species
AGAUUGAACGCUGGCGGCAUGCCUUACACAUGCAAGUCGAACGGUAGAGUAGCAAUACUUGAGAGUGGCGAACGGGUGAGUAAUAUAUCGGAACGUGCCCAGUCGUGGGGGAUAACGUAGAGAAAUUUACGCUAAUACCGCAUACGAUCUAAGGAUGAAAGCGGGGGACCGUAAGGCCUCGCGCGAUUGGAGCGGCUGAUAUCAGAUUAGGUUGUUGGUGAGGUAAAAGCUCACCAAGCCGACGAUCUGUAGCUGGUUUGAGAGAACGACCAGCCACACUGGGACUGAGACACGGCCCAGACUCCUACGGGAGCAGCAGUGGGGAAUUUUGGACAAGUGGG